UCNUCUGGCUUAACUGGGGGCUUGCGGUGGGUACGGGCCGGCUNGAGUGCGGUAGGGGAGGCUGGAACUCCUGGUGUAGCGGUGGAAUGCGCAGAUAUCAGGAAGAACACCGGUGGCGAAGGCGGGUCUCUGGGCCGUUACUGACGCUGAGGAGCGAAAGCGUGGGGAGCGAACAGGAUUAGAUACCCUGGUAGUCCACGCCGUAAACGUUGGGCACUAGGUGUGGGGGGCCUUUUCCGGGUUUUCCGCGCCGUAGCUAACGCAUUAAGUGCCCCGCCUGGGGAGUACGGCCGCAAGGCUAAAACUCAAAGGAAUUGACGGGGGCCCGCACAAGCGGCGGAGCAUGCGGAUUAAUUCGAUGCAACGCGAAGAACCUUACCAAGGCUUGACAUGUGCCGGUCGGCUCCGGAGACGGGGUUUCCUCCUUGUGGGGCCGGUUCACAGGUGGUGCAUGGUUGUCGUCAGCUCGUGUCGUGAGAUGUUGGGUUAAGUCCCGCAACGAGCGCAACCCUUGUCUCGUGUUGCCAGCACGUUGUGGUGGGGACUCGCGGGAGACUGCCGGGGUCAACUCGGAGGAAGGUGGGGAUGACGUCAAAUCAUCAUGCCCCUUAUGUCUUGGGCUUCACGCAUGCUACAAUGGCCGGUACAGAGGGCUGCGAUACCGUGAGGUGGAGCGAAUCCCUUAAAGCCGGUCUCAGUUCGGAUCGGUGUCUGCAACUCGACACCGUGAAGUUGGAGUCGCUAGUAAUCGCAGAUCAGCAACGCUGCGGUGAAUACGUUCUCGGGCCUUGUACACACCGCCCGUCACGUCAUGAAAGUCGGCAACACCCGAAGCCCGUGGCCUUACGG
rnacentral:rRNA from 1 species